rnacentral:ncRNA from 1 species
CGAGAUUGAGCAAUAACAGAUCUGUGAUGCCCUUAGAUGUUCUGGGCCGCACGCGCGCUACACUGAAGGAAUCAGCGUGUGUUCCCUGGCCGAAAGGCCCGGGUAACCCGCUGAACCUCCUUCGUGCUAGGGAUUGGGGCUUGCAAUUGUUCCCCAUGAACGAGGAAUUCCCAGUAAGCGCGAGUCAUAAGCUCGCGUUGAUUACGUCCCUGCCCUUUGUACACACCGCCCGUCGCUACUACCGAUUGAAUGAUUUAGUGAGGUCUUCGGACUGGUGCGCGGC